rnacentral:rRNA from 1 species
GAUGAACGCUGGCGGCGUGCCUAAUACAUGCAAGUCGAGCGAACGGACGAGAAGCUUGCUUCUCUGAUGUUAGCGGCGGACGGGUGAGUAACACGUGGAUAACCUACCUAUAAGACUGGGAUAACUUCGGGAAACCGGAGCUAAUACCGGAUAAAAUUUUGAACCGCAUGGUUCAAAAGUGAAAGAUGGUCUUGCUGUCACUUAUAGAUGGAUCCGCGCUGCAUUAGCUAGUUGGUAAGGUAACGGCUUACCAAGGCAACGAUGCAUAGCCGACCUGAGAGGGUGAUCGGCCACACUGGAACUGAGACACGGUCCAGACUCCUACGGGAGGCAGCAGUAGGGAAUCUUCCGCAAUGGGCGAAAGCCUGACGGAGCAACGCCGCGUGAGUGAUGAAGGUCUUCGGAUCGUAAAACUCUGUUAUUAGGGAAGAACAUAUGUGUAAGUAACUGUGCACAUCUUGACGGUACCUAAUCAGAAAGCCACGGCUAACUACGUG